rnacentral:rRNA from 1 species
UACCAGCACCCCGAGUGGUCGGGACGAUUAUUGGGCCUAAAGCAUCCGUAGCCGGUUCUACAAGUCUUCCGUUAAAUCCACCUGCUUAACAGAUGGGCUGCGGAGGAUACUAUAGAGCUAGGAGGCGGGAGAGGCAAGCGGUGACUUAGUGGGUAGGGGUAAAAUCCGUUGAUCCAUUGAAGACCACCAGUGGCGAAGGCGGCUUGCCAGAACGCCGCUCGACGGGUGAGGGAUGAAAGCUGGGG